CUCCUGAAACAAAUUUGUCAUUUUAUGGUAGUUCCGCUAGAAAAUAAUUGGCUAGGAAUUAAUUUUUACUGCGAUCAUCGAUGCGUUGAAAAAUUUGUAACAAGGUGGUUGCGUACCACUGGUCGAAAGAUACCGAAACAGAACAAAGAGAAGCUAACGAUGCUUUAGUCUGCCAGCGGUGCUCAAAAUCUGUUUCAAUCAAAGUAGAACAAUUUUUCCAGACCUAUUUAUCAUAGCUAUUUAAGACUUAUCAAUGUCAAGAUAAGAAAUUAAUCUUCCUAUGUGUACAAACUAGAAAUAAUUGAACCAAUAAAAUAUACAAUCAGCAAAAUGUUGAUACGGUGUCAGGGAUUUUGAUAGAAACGCGUUGCACAGUGACUUGUACAUUGUCAUCAAACCAUCUUGCUCCACUAAAAUAGUUUUGGCAGCGACUGUAUCUGUAAUUACAUCGUUUACCCUCGUUAAGAUAUCAUCGCAGAGACGCGUUCGUCUCAAGCUAAGUCUCGAUAACAGACGAAGAGAUUCGCUACAGUGUCAUCGCGGUGAAAGGAAAUUUCUUUUCGAGAUAUCAAGCUACAGGAACUGAAAAAUGAUAAUAAAUAAUCAUUGUGCGCCACGUUGUAGCCGGGAUGAUAAGAAGCGAAAGUUAUUAACAAUUUACACGUCUGGUGUGUGUAUACAAAGGUGUUACAGAAAGGUGUACGUGGUCGAAUCUGGUACAAGGUAAUAAUUCGGUCGCAAGGUUUACAAGAGGAAUUACAUUCUAUCCACAGCGAUACACGCAAGCAACGAUCCUUGUUACAACCUACUACUUUGAAUACUACGAGACUUUAGUACGUUUGUU